rnacentral:rRNA from 1 species
GACGAACGCUGGCGGCGUGCUUAACACAUGCAAGUCGAACGGAAAGGCCCUGCUUUUGUGGGGUGCUCGAGUGGCGAACGGGUGAGUAACACGUGAGUAACCUGCCCUUGACUUUGGGAUAACUUCAGGAAACUGGGGCUAAUACCGGAUAGGAGCUCCUGCUGCAUGGUGGGGGUUGGAAAGUUUCGGCGGUUGGGGAUGGACUCGCGGCUUAUCAGCUUGUUGGUGGGGUAGUGGCUUACCAAGGCUUUGACGGGUAGCCGGCCUGAGAGGGUGACCGGCCACAUUGGGACUGAGAUACGGCCCAGACUCCUACGGGAGGCAGCAGUGGGGAAUAUUGCACAAUGGGCGGAAGCCUGAUGCAGCAACGCCGCGUGCGGGAUGACGGCCUUCGGGUUGUAAACCGCUUUCGCCUGUGACGAAGCGUGAGUGACGGUAAUGGGUAAAGAAGCACCGGCUAACUACGUGCCAGCAGCCGCGGUGAUACGUAGGGUGCGAGCGUUGUCCGGAUUUAUUGGGCGUAAAGGGCUCGUAGGUGGUUGAUCGCGUCGGAAGUGUAAUCUUGGGGCUUAACCCUGAGCGUGCUUUCGAUACGGGUUGACUUGAGGAAGGUAGGGGAGAAUGGAAUUCCUGGUGGAGCGGUGGAAUGCGCAGAUAUCAGGAGGAACACCAGUGGCGAAGGCGGUUCUCUGGGCCUUUCCUGACGCUGAGGAGCGAAAGCGUGGGGAGCGAACAGGCUUAGAUACCCUGGUAGUCCACGCUGUAAACGGUGGGUACUAGGUGUGGGGUCCAUUCCACGGGUUCCGUGCCGUAGCUAACGCUUUAAGUACCCCGCCUGGGAAGUACGGCCGCAAGGCUAAAACUCAAAGGAAUUGACGGGGCCCCGCACAAGCGGCGGAGCAUGCGGAUUAAUUCGAUGCAACGCGUAGAACCUUACCUGGGUUUGACAUGGAUCGGGAGUGCUCAGAGAUGGGUGUGCCUCUUUUGGGGUCGGUUCACAGGUGGUGCAUGCCUGUCGUCAGCUCGUGUCGUGAGAUGUUGGGUUAAGUCUCGCAACGAGCGCAACCCUUGUUCACUGUUGCCAGCACGUUAUGGUGGGGACUCAGUGGAGACCGCCGGGGUCAACUCGGAGGAAGGUGGGGAUGACGUCAAGUCACCAUGCCCCUUAUGUCCAGGGCUUCACGCAUGCUACAAUGGCUGGUACAGAGAGUGGCGAGCCUGUGAGGGUGAGCGAAUCUCGGAAAGCCGGUCUCAGUUCGGAUUGGGGUCUGCAACUCGACCUCAUGAAGUCGGAGUCGCUAGUAAUCGCAGAUCAGCAACGCUGCGGUGAAUACGUUCCCGGG